AUACGUAGGGCGCAAGCGUUGUCCGGAAUUAUUGGGCGUAAAGAGCUCGUAGGCGGUUUGUCGCGUCUGGUGUGAAAACUCGAGGCUCAACCUCGAGCUUGCAUCGGGUACGGGCAGACUAGAGUGCGGUAGGGGAGACUGGAAUUCCUGGUGUAGCGGUGGAAUGCGCAGAUAUCAGGAGGAACACCGAUGGCGAAGGCAGGUCUCUGGGCCGCAACUGACGCUGAGGAGCG
rnacentral:rRNA from 1 species